UACGUAGGGUGCGAGCGUUGUCCGGAAUUAUUGGGCGUAAAGGGCGCGUAGGCGGCAUGCCAAGCGUGUGGUGAAAGCCCGGGGCUCAACCCCGGGUCGGCCGUGCGGACUGGCGUGCUUGAGCACUGUAGAGGCUAAUGGAAUUCCGGGUGUAGCGGUGGAAUGCGUAGAGAUCCGGAAGAACACCGGUGGCGAAGGCGGUUAGCUGGGCAGUUGCUGACACUGAGGCGCGACAGCGUGGGGAGCAAACAGG
rnacentral:rRNA from 1 species